UCAGCCACUUCAUUCUGGCUGUUAGUGAACUUGAGUAGCACCCUGGGAUGCUGAGGCCCUGGGCCAGGUGACUUGGCUUUAAACCCCCAUUGGGGGGACCUGGGCAGGUCUCCUGUCUCUCUGAACCUCUCUUUUCCACUAAGUGGAGGGUGGACCCUCCACCUCAUAAGGUUCUCCUUAGCAGAAUGUGGCUGGUGCCCUGAGGCUGUGGGAGAUGCUGCUUCCUGUUGUGGAAACUCAGACAUUUCCAGCAUCUUCUUAACAGUAGUCAGAGCUACAAGGAAGCUGUGGCUGUAGCAGGAGCCCUGGCACUUGGUAAAUAAGUUGCUGCCUAAACCCAGCAAAUCACUCUUGACAGGCACCAAGAAAGUGUAACCUGCUUGGGCCCAUUUUUUUUUAAAGCAAAACGGAAGAGUCAUUACACAAAUAUCAUAGAACAGUUAGGAAUAUCUUUAUGGUAAGCUGAAAGAAAAACCAUUCCCCUUCCUACCCUCCAGAAUAAAUGUUGUCAUUCAGUUACUAAGUCAUGUAACUUUGAGAGCCCACGGACUGCAGCAUGCCAGGCUCCCCUGUCCUCCACUAUCUCCUGGAGUUUGCUCAAAUUCAUGUCCAUUGAGUCAGUGAUGCUAUCUAACCAUCUCAUCCUCUGCUGCCCCCUUCUUUUUGCUGUCAGUAUUUCCCAGCAUCAGGGAAAUACUGAAUAUGUCAGCACCAGAAUAAAUACUGUUAUAUUUUUUUCCAGACCUUUUUCUAUGAUGGUACAGAGUAUAUUUUGCAAGCAUUGUAUCAUACCAUGGCAUCCUGUUUUAUUAGAAUCUGCUCUGCACUAAACUAUAUGUUGUAAGCAUCUUUUCUGUGCCUGUGUCUUGUUGUUGUACCUGGUGUAUAGUACUCCAUCGUGGGCUGUAUCAUGCUUUUAAGCCCCGAUUGCUGGGCAUUUGGGUUUGUGUCAGUUCCGAUUCUUUAGCUACAAAUAAUAGAAACCAACACUUUCUAACUUAAGCAAGAAAAAUUAAUAAUAACAAUACAGUAUUAGAAUGCCUUGGAGUGGCUCAGGAGAGAACAGCCAGACCUCAAGAAGGACAGGAAAGAAGAUGUUGCCAGGGGUCCAGGUUGCAAGAAUCAGGGGGCAGCCUCCCCAGGCACCACCACCAGUACGGGUGAAUCCAAAUGUUAGCUCCAGAUUCUACUGUGUCUCCCUUCAAGGACGCGAGCUUCCAAACAGCCUGACCUGGGUCACGUGCCCCUAGCCAAGGGGAAGGCAAGGCAUCUUGACCACCCCAUGCAAUGGGCAACGGGCUGUUCCCUGGAGAAAAAAUGAGGUUUGCUACCAAAACGACACAUCUGUCUGCUGACAAGGCAAAAACAGCAGGACUGUUCUUAGGUCGGGCUUUGAUUCUUCUCAGCAUUAUAAAGAGAGUUAUGAAAGCACACUGACCCUUUCCCCUUUUCCCAGGUCCAACCCCUUGGAGUCAAUUCCUGGGGUGUCUCUCAUGGCAGAGCCACUUAGCAGUUCCCCAAGGCCCCAGGCUUCCCUGCUGGGCCCAUGUCGCUGCCCCCCUCUCCUCCCCACAGCAUUCUUAUCUUCUGCAUUAUA
rnacentral:lncRNA from 1 species